GUAACAUAUCAGGAAGACCUUCAUUGUAGAGAGAUACUAUUUGAUUUACAUCCUCAGCACAUCCACUUGUAAGGUGAAACAGGGGUAAUACUGU